AGCGUACACGGUGGAUGCCCUGGCAGUCAGAGGCGAUGAAGGACGUGCUAAUCUGCGAUAAGCGUCGGUAAGGUGAUAUGAACCGUUAUAACCGGCGAUUUCCGAAUGGGGAAACCCAGUGUGAUUCGUCACACUAUCAUUAACUGAAUCCAUAGGUUAAUGAGGCGAACCGGGGGAACUGAAACAUCUAAGUACCCCGAGGAAAAGAAAUCAACCGAGAUUCCCCCAGUAGCGGCGAGCGAACGGGGAGCAGCCCAGAGCCUGAAUCAGUGUGUGUGUUAGUGGAAGCGUCUGGAAAGGCGCGCGAUACAGGGUGACAGCCCCGUACACAAAAAUGCACAUACUGUGAGCUCGAUGAGUAGGGCGGGACACGUGGUAUCCUGUCUGAAUAUGGGGGGACCAUCCUCCAAGGCUAAAUACUCCUGACUGACCGAUAGUGAACCAGUACCGUGAGGGAAAGGCGAAAAGAACCCCGGCGAGGGGAGUGAAAAAGAACCUGAAACCGUGUACGUACAAGCAGUGGGAGCACAGAGCAAUCUGUGUGACUGCGUACCUUUUGUAUAAUGGGUCAGCGACUUAUAUUCUGUAGCAAGGUUAACCGAAUAGGGGAGCCGAAGGGAAACCGAGUCUUAACUGGGCGUUAAGUUGCAGGGUAUAGACCCGAAACCCGGUGAUCUAGCCAUGGGCAGGUUGAAGGUUGGGUAACACUAACUGGAGGACCGAACCGACUAAUGUUGAAAAAUUAGCGGAUGACUUGUGGCUGGGGGUGAAAGGCCAAUCAAACCGGGAGAUAGCUGGUUCUCCCCGAAAGCUAUUUAGGUAGCGCCUCGUGAAUUCAUCUCCGGGGGUAGAGCACUGUUUCGGCAAGGGGGUCAUCCCGACUUACCAACCCGAUGCAAACUGCGAAUACCGGAGAAUGUUAUCACGGGAGACACACGGCGGGUGCUAACGUCCGUCGUGAAGAGGGAAACAACCCAGACCGCCAGCUAAGGUCCCAAAGUCAUGGUUAAGUGGGAAACGAUGUGGGAAGGCCCAGACAGCCAGGAUGUUGGCUUAGAAGCAGCCAUCAUUUAAAGAAAGCGUAAUAGCUCACUGGUCGAGUCGGCCUGCGCGGAAGAUGUAACGGGGCUAAACCAUGCACCGAAGCUGCGGCAGCGACGCUUAUGCGUUGUUGGGUAGGGGAGCGUUCUGUAAGCCUGCGAAGGUGUGCUGUGAGGCAUGCUGGAGGUAUCAGAAGUGCGAAUGCUGACAUAAGUAACGAUAAAGCGGGUGAAAAGCCCGCUCGCCGGAAGACCAAGGGUUCCUGUCCAACGUUAAUCGGGGCAGGGUGAGUCGACCCCUAAGGCGAGGCCGAAAGGCGUAGUCGAUGGGAAACAGGUUAAUAUUCCUGUACUUGGUGUUACUGCGAAGGGGGGACGGAGAAGGCUAUGUUGGCCGGGCGACGGUUGUCCCGGUUUAAGCGUGUAGGCUGGUUUUCCAGGCAAAUCCGGAAAAUCAAGGCUGAGGCGUGAUGACGAGGCACUACGGUGCUGAAGCAACAAAUGCCCUGCUUCCAGGAAAAGCCUCUAAGCAUCAGGUAACAUCAAAUCGUACCCCAAACCGACACAGGUGGUCAGGUAGAGAAUACCAAGGCGCUUGAGAGAACUCGGGUGAAGGAACUAGGCAAAAUGGUGCCGUAACUUCGGGAGAAGGCACGCUGAUAUGUAGGUGAAGUCCCUCGCGGAUGGAGCUGAAAUCAGUCGAAGAUACCAGCUGGCUGCAACUGUUUAUUAAAAACACAGCACUGUGCAAACACGAAAGUGGACGUAUACGGUGUGACGCCUGCCCGGUGCCGGAAGGUUAAUUGAUGGGGUCAGCGCAAGCGAAGCUCUUGAUCGAAGCCCCGGUAAACGGCGGCCGUAACUAUAACGGUCCUAAGGUAGCGAAAUUCCUUGUCGGGUAAGUUCCGACCUGCACGAAUGGCGUAAUGAUGGCCAGGCUGUCUCCACCCGAGACUCAGUGAAAUUGAACUCGCUGUGAAGAUGCAGUGUACCCGCGGCAAGACGGAAAGACCCCGUGAACCUUUACUAUAGCUUGACACUGAACAUUGAGCCUUGAUGUGUAGGAUAGGUGGGAGGCUUAGAAGUGUGGACGCCAGUCUGCAUGGAGCCGACCUUGAAAUACCACCCUUUAAUGUUUGAUGUUCUAACGUUGACCCGUAAUCCGGGUUGCGGACAGUGUCUGGUGGGUAGUUUGACUGGGGCGGUCUCCUCCUAAAGAGUAACGGAGGAGCACGAAGGUUGGCUAAUCCUGGUCGGACAUCAGGAGGUUAGUGCAAUGGCAUAAGCCAGCUUGACUGCGAGCGUGACGGCGCGAGCAGGUGCGAAAGCAGGUCAUAGUGAUCCGGUGGUUCUGAAUGGAAGGGCCAUCGCUCAACGGAUAAAAGGUACUCCGGGGAUAACAGGCUGAUACCGCCCAAGAGUUCAUAUCGACGGCGGUGUUUGGCACCUCGAUGUCGGCUCAUCACAUCCUGGGGCUGAAGUAGGUCCCAAGGGUAUGGCUGUUCGCCAUUUAAAGUGGUACGCGAGCUGGGUUUAGAACGUCGUGAGACAGUUCGGUCCCUAUCUGCCGUGGGCGCUGGAGAACUGAGGGGGGCUGCUCCUAGUACGAGAGGACCGGAGUGGACGCAUCACUGGUGUUCGGGUUGUCAUGCCAAUGGCACUGCCCGGUAGCUAAAUGCGGAAGAGAUAAGUGCUGAAAGCAUCUAAGCACGAAACUUGCCCCGAGAUGAGUUCUCCCUGACUCCUUGA
rnacentral:rRNA from 1 species